rnacentral:rRNA from 1 species
CUACGGGUUGCAGCAGCUGAGAAUAAUCUACAAUGCACGAAAGUGUGAUAGUUUGAGCCAGAGUGCGAUUCAUUGAAUCGCUUUUGCCAAAUGUAAAAAGUUUGGCGAAUAAGGACUGGGUAAGGCGAGUGCCAGCCGCCGCGGUAAUACUCGCGGUCCAAGUCGCUGCCAUUUUUAUUGGGUCUAAAACAUCCGUAGCUUGCUUGACAAGUCCCUUGUGAAAUCCUACAUCUUAAGUGUGGGGCGCGCGAGGGGUACUAUCAAGCUAGAGACCGGAAGACGCAACGAGUACGUUUGAAGUAGUGGUAAAAUAUUUUAAUCUCAAACGGACUAACAACAGCGAAGGCACGUUGCGAGGACGGUUCUGACAGUAAGGGAUGAAGGCUAGGGGCGCAAAACGGAUUAGAUACCCCCGUAGUC